rnacentral:misc_RNA from 1 species
CCAGGAUAAGGCUUUAAAUGUUGGGGUUUUGGAUUGGUCCCGUUUAGAGAAUUGGAAAUGCAACCAAAAGGACACCCUGGUGGAAGCGGGCAAUAAUGCAUCCUUGCCUAGCAGUAAUUUGUCAACUAAAAUGAUGACUAGAUCAUCUACUUUCUAUAGUCAAGCUCGCAAUGAGACUUCUGCCUAUCAAAGCAAGCAGCAUCCUUCUCUUUCUUGUAGAAAUAAUUCUUCUCAUAAUGAUGGCAUUUCUCAAGAUGCCAACUCAUCUGUCCGGGAUGCCAUACACUUUCAGGAUGUGGCAAAUGCCUCCAAACGCCAUUUUGAUGGACACAAGAGAGCAUUGUGGAACAAGAAGUCUUUUGACAGAAAUAGUUCGGAUACUGCUUUUGAGAAGGGGAGAAGAAGAGAGUUGCAUGAUAGAAUUGCUUCAAAAGUUCAGAAUGGGUCAUCCAAUUCCAGAUAUAACGGUAUGCCAUUUGGAUCCAAAGAAAGUGAUAGAGAGGCCAAGCAGAUAGUUGAGGAAAUGCAAGAAAUGCAUACAAAGAGAAAAUCUUUUAAACAUAAGAUAAUUCCAAACAGGGGAGCUUCAUCAUCAAAGCUGAGAUAUUAUGACACUUCACCCCGUGCAAAGGAAAAGAAGAAUGUCGACGAUAGUAGAACAGAGAAGAGAAUGGAGCUGCAAGAAUCAGCUAUUGAUUUUCCUGCUCAACAUCAAGCUGAUGAGAAGAAAAGAAUCGUUCACUUUUUUACCAAAAAGUUCUCGCACAAUAGCUUCCAAGAGCAACCA